rnacentral:rRNA from 1 species
GAUGAACGCUGGCGGCGUGCCUAAUACAUGCAAGUCGAGCGAACAGACGAGGAGCUUGCUCCUCUGACGUUAGCGGCGGACGGGUGAGUAACACGUGGAUAACCUACCUAUAAGACUGGGAUAACUUCGGGAAACCGGAGCUAAUACCGGAUAAUAUAUUGAACCGCAUGGUUCAAUAGUGAAAGACGGUUUUGCUGUCACUUAUAGAUGGAUCCGCGCCGCAUUAGCUAGUUGGUAAGGUAACGGCUUACCAAGGCGACGAUGCGUAGCCGACCUGAGAGGGUGAUCGGCCACACUGGAACUGAGACACGGUACCGACUCCUACGGGAGGCAGCAGUAGGGAAUCUUCCGCAAUGGACGAAAGCCUGACGGAGCAACGCCGCGUGAGUGAUGAAGGUCUUCGGAUCGUAAAACUCUGUUAUUAGGGAAGAACAAAUGUGUAAGUAACUAUGCACGUCUUGACGGUACCUAAUCAGAAAGCCACGGCUAACUACGUG